rnacentral:tRNA from 1 species
GCCCCGGUAGCUCAGGCUGGUUAGAGCAUCUGCUUGGUAAGCAGAAGGUCGCGGGUUCAAGUCCCGCCCGGGGCUCCA